UCGGGUAUGGUGUAACGGCUAACAUUGCCGCCUCUCACAAACAAUAUUCCUUUGAUGUCUUACGCGGCAGCUCGGGGUUCGAUUCCCCGUACCCGAA